rfam:Coniochaeta ligniaria NRRL 30616 unplaced genomic scaffold CONLIGscaffold_6, whole genome shotgun sequence.
UCCUCCAUAGCUCAGUUGGCUAGAGCGUCUGACUGUUACUCCUUACUUGGGAACUGAUAUCAGGAGGUCCACAGUUCAAACCUGUGUGGGGGAG